UACAGAGGCCACGAGCGUUAGGCGGAAUCACUGGGCUUAAAGCGUGUGUAGGUGGAUGACUAAGUACCUUGUGAAAUCCCACGGCUCAACCGUGGAACUGCUUGGUAUACUGGUUGUCUUGAGCCAGCUAGGGGCGAGCGGAACAGACGGUGGAGCGGUGAAAUGCGUAGAUAUCGUCUGGAACGCCGAAGGUGAAAACAGCUCGCUGGGGCUGCGCUGACGCUGAGACACGAAAGCCAGGGGAGCGAACGGG
rnacentral:rRNA from 1 species